GACAGAGGGUGCAAACGUUGUUCGGAAUUACUGGGCGUAAAGCGCGCGUAGGCGGUUUUGCAAGUCGGGUGUGAAAUCCCCAGGCUUAACCUGGGAACUGCAUUCGAGACUGCAUUGCUAGAGUAUGGGAGAGGGAAGUGGAAUUUCCGGUGUAGCGGUGAAAUGCGUAGAUAUCGGAAGGAACAUCAGUGGCGAAAGCGACUUCCUGGACCAAUACUGACGUUCAUGUGCGAAAGCGUGGGGAGCAAGCAGG
rnacentral:rRNA from 1 species